CUCAUUCACUAAAGAACGAUGACACAAAAAGUCACCAUUUUAAGGCAAAAUCUUGCAUUAAAAACCCAAAUCCUACAAUGUGCAGGCAACUCAGCACUGGUAUUUGGUCACCCACCAGAGAGCCCUGAGCUGAAAAGCAGCAGUGCUGACUCAGUCUGUAUCUCUGCCAAAGGGCACAGAAUCACGGGAAGCAGAGGCAACCUCCCCCGAAAGAAGAUUAUACCAAAGCAUAAAAAUCCACUUCCAGUGGCAGAAGCAGAAAGCAGACAAAAUGAAGAACCACCAUAUGGUGAAAGUCAUUCUUAGACGCUUUGUGCUCUUCAGUCAAGUCUGGUGUCUCAUUAAAGGUUGCUAUUUAAAUGUUUUAUUGUUAAUGUGCCACUAGGGAUGCUAUGAUCACUUCUUAAAUUUUCUUCAGUGUUCUCAAUAGUAUCCUUUUCUAUAUUUUUACUUAAAGUAUUUUUUAUAAUGCGAUAUUUUCCAUUUGACUAAAAUCAGAUAAAAAUUAAAGAUUUUUUCAUUUACAUUUUUGUCCUUUAUGACUAUAGAACACACUUGAAGGAUUGUAUUACAGUGACAAGCUUCUAGUCUGUUUGUUUUCCACCAAGGAGCUGUCUGCCAUCAAGUAUGUUGGUAUGAGAACCAGUGCUUUGUGCCCUCUUUUGUAACCCUAGAGAAGAGAAAAAUAAGGCUCAAAAGAACAAGCUAAUAAUGAAUAUAUGUGCAACAAAGGUAAUACAACUUUUCAGGGAAAGAGAUGCUACCUUGUAAGUCUGAUUACCUACUGUAAUAAAAACAAGUGGAAAAAAGAUUGCAAGCAAUAAAAAUCAAUUAUAUCAGAUUCUUAAAUAGACCAAAACCUGUCAAAUAUUUUGAUCACUGGUGACCUGGAAAUCCUAUAGCUUAUUUUAUCUCAACUGGUUUGAUUGCAGACUACUGGAAAGCCAAUAUCUGUGUCCUAAUUCAGCUUCUCCAUAUUGUUCCUGUCUGUGCUCCUGGGACUGCAAUAAGCCCCUGCAUUUUACAGUAACACAUAAAAGAAAAUCCAGAUCCUUAAGUAUAUCUGGUUGCUCUAUAUUAUGUCAAAACAAAGUAGGUGUGUGGGCUGAUUUUUUUCCAGAUAAUUUAUUUAUAAAACCUGUCAAACAUGGAAAAAUAAUCAGCUUGGGUUUUGGGGGUUUUUAGAGUAUUGAAAAAACAAAAUUUGCACAGAAUUGAAAUUCAGAAAAUCAAUCAGGAAAUGAAAAGAGAAAUAAAUUGAAUAAAACAUAAAAAACAUGUCAUUCUUAUAAAAUGUAAUGAUACCGGAAAAAAACUGUAGGUCAUUCCAAAGACUGGGAUCACACAUUCUUAAAAAUAACUGGAUUAUUUUUUUGGGCUGUCAACUUGACCGAUGAUCUACACAAAGCCUUGUAGUAAAAUUUUCAUUAAACCUUUUAUCGUCAAUUUAAUAGUUCUUAAGAAAGCUAUAUUGAUUUAAUUAGUCUUUUGUAAAUGAAAUUGUUCUUAGAGAGGAUACAUUGAGAUGAAAAUAUUUAUUGUUUUAUUCAAAGAAUGACACUUUUAAGUGUCAUUAUCAAGGAAUUAUCCUUUCAAAAUCACUUAAUAUUACUAUUUUAUUAUUUUACCUUUCUGUUUCCUUGUGACAGUAUAGAAUAGCACAUCAAUCAAUAGCAAUUCACAGUAAUAUAAAAAUAUUAUUGGGCUUUAUCAUGUCUCAAAUUUUAAAGGGAAGCUGAUACUUAAAACUGGUUGAAACUACUGAUUUUCUAGAACUUAUUGUCUCCUCUGCUGCGAGAAAACACUUUGGCUUUUAAAACCCAAAAGAAGAUAAACUUAAAAAUUACUAAUUACAUAACCAGCAACUUUCAAAACCUUUUUUUUGGGACAAUUUGUUUUAUUUUUAGAGUGAAAAAAGUUCUGUGUUUAUUUCAAUUCUUUUGAGAUAAGAGGAGUAUUCAUGCCAUUUUCCAUGAAGCCCCUGAUUUAUAAGUCUUUUUGUCAAUAUAAUUUAUGGACGGAAGUGUUUAACUUCAGUCAGUAAGAAGACAAGCUUGAAAUUCCCUAAAAUGCUUCUCACUACCCACCGAAAAGAGAUCUUAGGAUAAACAGGCUGCCAGUUUAGGGAUCUAAACUGAAAUGCUUAAUGCAGGCAGAGUAAAUACCAUCUUCAUCCAGUAUUGACAAAUACUUAGCCAAAAUACUUUGAAAAAAUUUGUAAAUAAAAAGAAUAAUUAUAUUAUGCCAUAGUAUAUUAUUGGAGAUAUAAUGAUAAAUUGGAUUAGAUUGCUUAGAACAAUGAUAUUUAAAAGGAUGCAUUGUCCAGACAUGUCAACCAUAGACAGUCCAAGCAGGAUUCAAACUAAAAUAUUCCUCUUAACCAUAACAUCCAUUAAAUGGUAGGAGAUGUUUUACAGCAACAGUGCAGUGGAGUCCUGGAGUAGACUAAUUUCUUGUUGCUUUUUAACAGCAGCACAAACAAAAAUCUGGUACUGCUGAUCAGAAAAUAUAAUCACAAAUUAAAAUCAGCUGGUGAAGUUAUUUUAAACACCUUCAGCAGCACAAUUACCUGCUUUUAAGCUGUAUUAUAGCUUUUGAUGUUUCACAGGCACAAUACACAUUCAAAUGCACUGCUAGACACAGUAGACCACUGACAGUGCUUUGCCAGGCCACACAUCCUCUGAGCAGAAACAGUCACCAAUGCAUCUGUUUCAAAAAGAACUAAUUUAAUAUUUACAUUUUUUGUGUACUUUUGAGUGGGUGGUUCCACUCUUCCAGUUUGAUGUGCCAGUGUAAAGUGUGAGUUGUCAGAGAGAGAAUGUCAAAACACCUUAGUUAUUAUGCUCUAGAGUCAUGAACACAAUCUUUAUACUGCAUUAUGAUUUUCACCUUUACCCACCAGAUUUCCUGGCUAGCUGUUCCUCAGUAGUUGUUUUCUUGAAUCAUGGUGAUUUAUAUGAAAAUAUGGGACCAUUUUAAAAAAAUGUUGAAGUAUUUAUUUCCUCUUAAUGCAGCGCAAUAUUUGGAAGCUUUUUUGACAGGCACUGAAUUGUUUUAUCAGGAAAUAAUAAAAUCUGUCUGAUCAUUUAACAGAUCUAUCAGUGAUUCAGCAG
ensembl:lncRNA